GUCUUUCUAGACUCUCAACAAAUCGCCAAGUUAUUCGAGAAACAUGCUCGGCGAAGAGCUUGUCAAAGCAACCCCAGUUACACGUGACCGGCGCGCUCAUUGGUCGUCGUGGGUGGUGAUCAGGGAUGCAUUGAUGCGCUCUGAUUGGCCGAAGGGUACGCCUUGGUGGAGAAGGAAAAAUCAAAAACACAUGAGAAACAAGAAGGCUAUACUUGACAACCUCCUUGUUGCACAUGGUCCUCGGAUAAAUUUGUGAUUUUUCGAGAGUUUAGAAAGCAACGUCUAUUAUGUAUUUCCAACUAACUGUUUGUUACCGUCUAUCGAUAAGUGCUUCUCGAGACCUAUUAUCUGAGAACACUAAUGUGUACGGUGUAACAGUUUAGAAAUGAUGCUCCAAUAAUUUCUGAAUAAGCUGUCAUUUGAUAUUAUCGAAAUUAACAUAAAUUUCUAAUGGCUCAGCAGCUGGCAAAUUGCACUUUUUGCAAAAUUAUUAGAAACGAGGAACCCGGCGACAAAAUUUACGAGGACGAUGAUGUUACAUGUAUUAAGGACAUUAAUCCAGCAUCCACGCAUCAUUAUUUGAUAAUACCAAAUAAACAUAUACGCAAUGCGAAAACACUUAAACCUGAAGAUUCUGAACUUUUUGACAAGAUUGUUGCUACUGUAGGCAUUAUUUCUGAAAAGCUGAACCUUGAUCCAGCAUCUAUACGAACAGGAUUUCACUGGCCACCGUUUAAUACCGUUGAUCAUUUACAUUUACAUGUAAUUUCACCAGUAGACAAAAUGAACGCUAUGAGAAAAUUUAUGUUCAAUCCCAAUAACUUUUGGUUCGUGGGUACAGAUUAUGUGAAAUCUCGCCUAGAAAAUUGUAAACUGUAGAGCAUUGUUAUAAUUUUACUUGUUAUUUGUCUUCCUAGUAACGAAAUGAAAUUCUUGCUCUAUACUAUUGAAGCAUUUAGUGUGGUUGCGGACGUAAAUAUUUAUUGUGGGUAAUUUUGUUUUUCCAAUAAAAGCCUUCUGGAUACAUGUACUCUCUGAUGCUCUCUUCCUUAAGUUCAGUCGAGUAUCCAGGACGCAAAGGUGGCAUGUAAUGUGCAUUAUUAAUACGAACAGGAUCCACAAAGUGCUCGUGUUGUUGGUCCACAAAUUCUAUUAUACGAUCUUGAGUGGUCUGACUUAAGCAAAUGUAGUCCCACAUUUGAAGAUGCUGAAUCAUCUCACACAAGCCUACUCCACCAGCAUGUGGGCAAACUGGUUCUGCAAAUAAGAAAUUUUUCACAUUCUGAUUUUCUUUAAAUUUAUUAGUUUGUCAAGAAUAAUUUUUUUUAAAUAUUGAAGAAGGGAAAAAUUAAGUACAAAAAUUCAAAUUAUUAAUAAUUAGUAGAUAAUUGACUUAGAUUUAUACUGAUAUUAUACUUACUCUUUAAUAUGUACGCCAUUAUAUAUACAGU